rnacentral:rRNA from 1 species
UGCAUGUCUAAGUACAUGCCGUAUUAAGGCGAAACCGCGAAUGGCUCAUUAAAUCAGUUAUGGUUCCUUGGAUCGUACCUUACUACUUGGAUAACUGUGGCAAUUCUAGAGCUAAUACAUGCAGCAGAGCUCCGACCCUCAGGGGACGAGCGCUUUUAUUAGACCAAAACCAAUCGGACCUCGUGUCCGUCUCUUGUGGUGACUCUGUAUAACUUUGGGCUGAUCGCACGGGCCCGUCCCGGCGACGUAUCUUUCAAGUGUCUGCCUUAUCAACUUUCGAUGGUAGGUUACGCGCCUACCAUGGUCGUAACGGGUAACGGGGAAUCAGGGUUCGAUUCCGGAGAGGGAGCCUGAGAAACGGCUACCACAUCCAAGGAAGGCAGCAGGCGCGCAAAUUACCCACUCCCAGAACGGGGAGGUAGUGACGAAAAAUAACAAUACGGGACUCUUUUGAGACCCCGUAAUUGGAAUGAGUACACUUUAAAUCCUUUAACGAGGAUCCAUUAGAGGGCAAGUCUGGUGCCAGCAGCCGCGGUAAUUCCAGCUCUAAUAGCGUAUAUUAAAGUUGUUGCGGUUAAAAAGCUCGUAGUUGGAUCUCAGUUCCAGACGGGUGGUCCUCCUUACGGUGGCUACUGCCUGUUCUGAACAGCCAGCCGGUUUCUCUUGAUGAUCUUCACCGGUUGUCUUGGGUGACCGGCAAGUUUACUUUGAAAAAAUUAGAGUGCUCAAAGCAGGCGUGACGCCUGAAUAAUGGUGCAUGGAAUAAUGGAAUAGGACCUCGGUUCUAUUUUGUUGGUUUUCGGAACACGAGGUAAUGAUUAAGAGGGACAGACGGGGGCAUUCGUAUUGCGACGCUAGAGGUGAAAU